rnacentral:lncRNA from 1 species
UUUUUCUUUUCUUUUUUUGGACACGGUGUUGACAGGAAAGACCAUUUUAGAUUUUCAGAUCAUAUUAAAAGAACCAAAGUGUCUACCAGUGACAUAGAUGUCACCUCUUCUGUGACCCUUUUUCAUGACUCACUACCUCAGAAUAGAAUUACUGCUCCCAUGAUCCUCUCCUGCAUAUUUACAUCACUGCACAUAUUUCAUGCUACCAGAGUCAUUUGUUUAUGUGUCUCUCUCCACUACCGGAUUGUAAGCUGUUUAAGGACAGAGACACUUUGCACCUUUUGUCCUUUCUAUGUCGGCUCAGGCUUGACCCUAGAGCUGCCUGAUGAACUAACUAUACUAAAUUUAACUUAAAAAUGACUUUCUGUGUCCUCCCAAAGAUGUUACUGGUGCAGAAAUGCUCUAAGCCAAAGUAAAGAAUAUGCAUGUACUUUAUUGACUGGAGCAAUGUCCAAAACAAAGCCAAGUUUCCAAACAGGACUUUAAAUCAAGUGUUCUCUGUUUUUGAGAAUCUAUCCCAACCCCUUGUCCCCAUUGUCUGCUAACUCUUGAUGAUUUCUUAAUGCUCUCCAGCUGUUUUCACUUCCAAGAUUUUAAGUUUUUCUUUCACUGACCAAAAGGCACUGAACAGCUUAUAAGGAAAUCAUGUUUUGAAUGGAAUUCAAAUAUGAGAAGCAUUUCCCUCCCUAUUUUGCAUCCCUGCCACCAUCUUGCCCCAAACAUAGUCUGAUCUUUCUCCCACAGACCAUCCAAUUAUCUGCCUGUGAGUUCCAUCACCUUAAAUUCCUCUGCAGGAUUCCUCACUUAUGCACCAACUCAACACAUCCAUCUAUCCCAAAGCUUGUUGGCAAUGUAGUUUGCACUCUGCUUUCCUCCAUACAUGCUGCACAUCAUUGUCUGAUCCAUAAACUCAAGUUGUGUAUGAAUUGCCACUGAGGAAGCACAGUCCAUAAAUCAUUACCUGAAAAACUGCUAGAAGAGAUGGUCUAACAAUGAUUUAGUUCAAGUCCCAGCGGCCCAGUAGAAAGCAUUUCUUUUGCAAGAUAGUGUCUAACUAUCCUGAUAAAAUGUGUGUUCUCUCGCACAUUGUUUGCCUGGGAGGUUUAGCCAAAUGCCAAAACCUAAAGAAAAGAGCAGAUGGCGAGAAGUCAUGAGUCCAGGGUUCUAGACUCAGCUUGGAACUAGGUCUGUGUUCUUGGCCAAGUCACCUACUUCUUUCAUUUCCACUGUUGAUUUCAUCAGGCAAGCAUUUGGGCUAAGCAAAAACAAAAAAGUAUUGAACCUGUGCUAAAGGUGCUUUUAUAUUGCAUCAAAAACUGCGAAGGGGCUGAGAUUGUAGCUUACUUGAAAUAUAACAAGUUGGCCUGGUGCAAUUUUGUGGAUGCUAUAAAAAACAAACAAACAAAAAAACCCAUGAGAUUCCUGGGUCAAAGACCAAGGACUUCAUUAUCAUAGCAAGGGGCAUGAGCAACUGCACAUUUUCAUCAGUUCUCCUGGCUCCCAGGUUGCGUGGGUAUGAUCCAGCUGGGCCCAGAAGGAAGCCUGUGCACCACUGGUUGCAUUUCAGGACGGGGAGCCUGAGUUUAGGAACAAUGGGAAUAGUGCAGGAUCCUAAAGAAGGUGAAGCUUUGCUUAUUGUUGAUACCAUGUCGUUGUGGACUAAAGUUUUGCAUAUUUUUUUCUGGUAUGGCUCUUUUUUUUCUGGUAUAACUCACUGAUAUUUAACAAUUUCAUAUGUGCUUCAUAAAUGUAGCAGAAGAUCUAAUUCUAGCAAAAUUUGAUAGGUAUUUUAUAUUAAGUGAAGGAUAUAGAUGAGAAAUAGAAAAAGUAAAGGUUGUGAUAUAUUUCAGGUUAAUGUUUAAAGACUGUUGUUCUCUGAAAAUUGCACUGUAUAAUCCAUGUGCUUUUUCCUUUCCCUGUCUAAAUCUUGCCCUCAAAUAGUGAGCCAAACAAUUCCUUUCAUGCCCUCUACUGGAUAUCAGAAGUCAAACAUCAAUAUCACUGGAAAGCAACCAAAAUAACAAUACACAUGAUCAUCAAAAUUUCUUUUAUAACUUUUUAAAUGUUAAAAUUCAGUGACCUUGGUUCGAGAAUGACAGAAUUCCUUGCUCUGUGCCUAACAUGCAAAUUUCAGCAUCGAUUUUCCUAUUGCAUAAAAAUUAUUGGUUGAGGGGAAGGGAGUGAAUAGAUGUAAGGUUUGUAUCACUGCCACCUCUGAGGCAUCUCUGAAGAGUGACUGUACUGCUGUGAUAUUUAAGAAGCCUCUAUUGUAUUGUCAUCCUGGUUCAAUAGUAAUAUCUGCUGGCUGCUGAAGCUGGUCCUAGAAGGGGGGUGUGGUAGAACAAGCCCAUUACCGCAGAACGUCUUCAGAUUAGCUGCUCAAUUAUACACAUAGAAUCCAUCAGAAGGAGGACAAAGACAUACUUGAUCAUUUGAUUGCCUAUGGCCAUCUCUACAGAAUCCUUGGGAGUGUCUGGAAAAAUGUAUCCCAGCCUCAAUUCAGCUCACCCACCCUCUCCCAGGGCCAUAGUAGUUAAUAUAUUUUGAAAUGCUCCAUAGCAGUUGGUACACAGACACUGUCCUUGGCUCCUACGUGCUGUUCAUCACAUCCUGACCUCUGGACCUUACCCUCGGACUCCUUGGACUUCCCCCCAAAUCAAGUAACUGAAAGGUUUAAGACCUUGUCUACUCCCUCCAGGGAAUUGCCUGAUCCAGUGCACCCAGCCACCGAGAUCCUUCUGGCCUUAUUCAGGCCCACUUGGGUUCAGUCCUUCUUACCUCCAAACCUCACCCAACUCAGUAGGGUCAAGGGAGAAAGCAGGGCUAUAUUUUUCUCUCUACACAGAAAAAAUAGGUAAGAUUUAGGAAGCACUUAUAUGUCAAGCACACUACACAUUAUUUCAAUCACUCCUUACAACAGACUAAUUUUAUAGAUGAGUCAACUAGAAGCAUCCACAAAGGGUUCCUGACUUACGAUGCUUUGACCUUAUUUUUUGACUUUAUGAUGGUGCAGAGAUGAUCCACAUGCAGUAGAAACCUCACUUCAAAUUUCGAAUUUACUUCUUUUCUCAGGCUAGCAAUCUGCGGCAUGAACCUCUUAUGAUGUGGGCAGCAGAAGCUCCAAUCACGAGAGUAAACCACUCAUAUGCUGACAAUUCUGUUUUUCACAUUCAGUACAUGAUUCAAUAAAUCACAUGAGAUAUCAAAUACUUUAUUAAGCAUUACAAAUAGUCUUUGUGUUAGAUGAAUUUGCCCAACUGUAGGCCGUGCAAUUGUUCUGAGCACAUUCAAGUUAAGCAAGGCUAAGCUAUGAUGUCUAGAAGGCAGGAACAUUAAAUGCAUUCUAAAUUAUUUCCUUAAAAAAAAAAAAAAAAAAAAAAAACUCCCCUGUGACAUAUAGAAUUCCCGGGCCAGGGUUCAGAUUCGAGCCAUAGUAACACUGGAUCCUUCAACCCACUGUGAUGGGUGGGGAAUUGAACCUGUGUCCUGGCUCUGCAGAGAUACUGCCAAUCCUAUUGUGCCACACUGGGAACUCCAAAUGCCUUCUUGACUUAUAUUUUCAACUGAUAAUUGGUUUAUUAGACUGUAACUUCAUUGUAAGUCUAGGAAGAUCUGCAGUAACUUGCACAAGAUCCCACAGAGGGUGCAUGGGUGAGCUAGAUGAUGGAGCCAAUCUGAAUGCCCAGUCCAGGUGUUUAGUGAAUUGCACCCAAUACUUCCAACCCAAGGAAGGUCCAAAGAAUAUGCAGCAGUCUCUGAAGGUGCUUGCAGCAGAGGAGUUUCAGAAAUGGUUAACAGAGUCAGGAUCACUAGGAAGAACUCAGAGCCACCCAACUGGGGAGAACACGAGGAGAAAUGGACAGUCUCCUACCUUUGCUUUCAUAUAGUCUCGGUCACCCUCAGUCACACCCUCUACGACAAGGAGGGCAAGGGAACUGAACUUUUAUUGUUUUGUUUUGUUUUUAGGGCUGCAUCUGUGGCAUAUGUAAGUUCCCAGGCUAGCAGUUGAAUCAGAGCUACAGCUGCCGACCUAUGUCACAGCCACAGCCCCAGCAAUGUGGAAUCUGCACGGCGUCUGCAACCUACACCACAGCUCAUGGCAACACCGGAUCCUCAACCCACUGAAUGAGGCCAGGGAUCGAACCCACAUCCUCAUGGAUCAUGGUCACUUUUGUUAACCACUGAGCCAUGAAGGGAACUCUGGAACUGAACUUUGGUUUACCUGUGGUGCAGCUCUCAUAGAAACCAAAUGGGAAGAGGCCCCAGACUACUCCUUCAAUUGUUUUUUAAUAUUGAGUGUUCAAGGAACUUUUUUUAAAAAAUAUGGUCAUGACUUGCAUACAAAUAUGAAACAAGUAUGUCAAAGCUCUCAUUGAACUCAUUAUUUAAAUGAGAGAACCAGAAAAAUUAGUCCUCAAACAGCUCAACAGGAAAUCCCCUUAAAUACAAUUGCUUGGUGGUUGAGUAUGGCUCCAUUAACCACCAGUGUGAAGGAGAAGCCAAAAGGUAGAUACAUUUAUAAGUCAUGGAUAUGGAAAAGAAUUUGCAAAUGGAAGCAAAACUGGUACAUUUUGCUGGGUGAGGGGAAGAAAAUCAAUUAACUUUCAAAGGACAGAAUUUAUUUGUAUAUUUAUUGAUGUAUUUGCAUUACUCUGGGUUUUUUACAAAUUAACUUUGGUCUCUGAAGAACGAUGAAACAGCCCAGGCAAAGACAAAAGUGCAUAUCUUCCUGUAGGCAAAAAAUUCCCAGUGGUUACAGCAUUCCUUUGAAAAGAUAUCAAAAGUGCUUGCUUAUUCCAAUAUCUUCAAUGUUUCCUUGCAUGGAUCAAGUGGAAGAAAAAUGAAUAGGAUUAAUCCAUGAGCACUUUUCUUCCUUCCCUUAUGAGUUGCCUUUGGGUUUGGAUUGGGGAGACAGAAAGAAAGAUUAGGAAAGUUAACUAUUUACUCUUUAGCACCAUUCCCAGCAGAGUAUUUCAGAGACGAAUUGUAAAAGCAAAGAUAUUUUCUCAUUCAGUAAGUCAAGCAACUAACUAAUCCUGUUGAUUCCUACCAUUUGCCCAGCUCUAGGAAAAACUACGAGUCCACAUAUGAGUUUCCAGGGAACCACUCCCUGAGAGUCACAGUUAAUAGUUAUUCCUGCAACUGAACACACUUAACCCCAAAUUAGGUGAGUUUCAAGGCUAAAAACACAGUAUGGAUAAUCCUGUUCAUGUCUUUACCACUUAGGCAGGAUGUCUGACCAAUCUACUUAUCCAUUUUUCGGGGGGGGAUUGAUAUGAUUUAUUUGUGAAUUUCUCUCUAUACUCUCACUUCGCCCACCUCCAUAAUCCCCAAUCCUAAUGCCAGAACAUUCUUGGUCUUUUUAAAGAUCUUGGGCUGAAAGAAAGAUGAUGCAUAUCUACCAGAAGGUGGCGGUGUUGCUUCAAAAAAAUCUCAGAUCAGCCAGGCUCUGGAAUCUAAGGAUACAAACUAGGCUUGGCUGUUUCUUGACCCAUUUUAUACCCAAUUCAUAUACAUUCUGUACAGAACAGAAUGCAACUUAGCUCUACUUCAAAGUGCACCAUCACAGUUUUAUUCAAAAUACACACAGAGGCAAAACACAGUAGGAAUAUUUGUCUAAGUAGCAUAUACAUCUGUAGACGUCUCUUGAACCACUGCAGUGUGGAAGAUUCCCUGCUGAAAGUGGUACGUGGAAGACAGAGAGAAGCAGAGGCCUCAACCUUAAGAAAUUUGGAGUAUACUUUGGAAGAACUAUAUGCAUAAAAUCAUCAGAAUUUCUCUUUCAAAGGCAUGGCCUCAAUCUAACUAGAUGCUCCUGGAU